GACCCAAUGGAAUUGGUGUUUUUUUAAGAGCAAGUCACUCGGGCACCAAAACGUACCAAAAUGCCCUUUCCCCCCAGAACACCAUUUCACAUUUGAGAAAUCCCGCCCGCGUUGCCCUCUCUAGUCUUUCGUCGCCCAGCACCGAGUCUUUGAAAUCGCCGUCCCUUUCGUCGUCCAGCACUUGAGAGUCUUUGAAAUCGCCGUCGCAGACUCGCUUCCACCCUCCCCCUCCCUUCGAAGCAUUUCUUUCCUCCCCCUCAUCAGAGUCUUCGAAGCCUUAGCCCGAUCCCUAUCCCCAUCCCUCAAAAUCCAUUGAAGCCCCAUCAUAUUAAGCUUCAUCAACCAUGACUCUGGGUGUUUAUUUAAUCGGUGUAUAGUUGUUUAUUUUCUUGCUUGCAUUUUUGCAUUUUUUUUUUGGGUGCCAAAAGUUCUUAUCUUCUCGAUGAUUAGGAAACCCAAAUCCUUAAGCUGUUUCUUUUUUCAGUUUGCCUGAAUUCUUGUUUGCUUGAAUUUGUGUAUUUUGUGAUAUGUAUCUAGUUCGUAGGAGCUGUAUUUUACAAUACCUUGAUUUUUGGAUGGCUAUGUAAGUUUAAGACAUAGCCCUUGUCCAUCACCUACCUGUGAAAAUUAUAUGGUGUUCUUGAAGUUAUGUUUUUAUGUAUAAAUUGUGUUGGAUGUUGCAUUUCUUCAAAUCUGCUUGAUAUAGUUUGAGCAUAAAAAUGGCAAGUUGCUCUAUAUCUUCUUCCAAGGAAAAUAACUUUUUUUUUUUUUGUUUUCUUUAUAAGUAAACAAGUUUUAUUGAUCAAAGAAUAGGCAUAGCCCAGUAGAAAUACAAUAACAACUAUCAAUUAUAGUUGACAGAAGAACUUGCUACAUAAGUAAAGUCUGCAAAAUAAUUGCAGGAUAUCAAUUAUUCAAGCUCUGUAUUACCUUCGAAAAAAGGAAAGUUGUUGGCUGAUCUUAAGCAAGCACGAGCUUGUGGGCAUAUAAUACUAGAUAUAUGUAGGCAAAUGUAGGACCAGAACACAAUCAUUAUCCUAUAUAAUUUUCAUAUAGUGCCUCAAAACCCAAUGACCAGACUGGUUAUGGGUUAUGCCAGAGAAAUAGUUCACACCCGUUGUAUUCAUUUAGCUUAAUCAUUUGUUUAAAUAUUAUGUUGAGUUAUUUAGCUUCUCAAUUUAUAUUCAUUUAUAUUCAUUCAUAUAUAGCCAUAGCUCAAUCCAAAAACCAAUAUAAAUGAUGUUGAACAUUUCAGUUGCUAAUCCAUUUUCCCAGUGACCAUGUCUUGCAGAAUGGAUACUCUUCACUCCUAUCAUUCACAGCGACUGACAUUAACAAUACAGUGACAAAAUUUAGCAGUAAGGGAAAUUACCAUGAAAGCAAGGAGCUCUUUGUUUGUUUCAUUCUUGUUUUCUUCUUUAAAGUGGGUUGGUCUUGCCGGUUGCUUGGAUUGGGUCUCCCAUGUUUUUGGCCUCUGAUUUUCUUCCUGUUGGGUGUAUAACCUAGUGGAGGGAAGUUAGAAACAAGCAUAAAUCGUGCAACCUACAGCCUGAAGAGCGAUAUUCUAGCUAUUUGCGACAGUUAUAAAUCGUUGCAAAUAAUUGUGAUGUGCAGUUGUGACAAUUUUGUCCGGUAUUUGCAGCAAUGUAAAUCGCUGCAAAUAAGGUGUUAUUUCCAGCUGCUUUUGUUUAUAAGUGAAUAAACAAAUGCGACUAACAUCCAGUGCAGUAGAAAUCGCUGAGAAAGAGAAAUUGCGGCAAUUUUAGUGGUUAUUUGUGGCGAUUAAUGGUGCUACAAAAAUAUUCUUACGUACAUCCCAAUUUCGGAGCACCCAUGUUAAGGAAAAGUGGCAGAAGAAUCUGUAUCUUGCUUGUUUGUGUUAUGGGUGGACGGUAUCUUGAUCCUUUGUAAUUGCAAGGAAUUUCUAGGUCAAAAGAAAGUGGGAUUUUGGUGUUCCUCUUUUCCCAUCAUUUAUGUAGGAUUUCAUGUCAAUUGUAAAAAACGAUUGAGGAGCUUAGCUGUGGCGGCAGUCGAGACGUGCUCGUAUGUAUGAUAAAUCGGUAUUAAAGUUGUACGUUUGCCUUUCAUUUUACCUCCUUGUACGAGUUUGUAAGAAAAAAAUAUAUAGUGGCGCACCAUUUUUUC